GCACCUAACUAUCAAGAGGGAUAGAGGUGCCGAUGGGGUACCAGCAUCUCUAGCUCGGCCAUGCUGUGCCUUCCUCCCCCCCCCCCCCCAAACUUGGGGUGCAGCAUCCUCCCCAUCACACCACUGGCUUCUUCCCAUUGUCCAAACCCAUGAAUCCCUGCAUCCUUUUGGCUGGGAUAGGAAGUGCUGUCCUGGAAAGGGUUGGAAACCAGCUCUGGGAAAGGAUGCAGUAGUUUUCAUUAAAGCGUUCUGCUGUGCCCUGAAUUAUUUAUAAGCAUCAGGAUGUAAGGACAUCAUGUUCACCCUCCAGCACUGAGAAAGGCUGCAAAUAAUCUAAUAAAUUACUCAUGCAAACUUA